GACAGAGGGGGCAAGCGUUGCUCGGAAUUACUGGGCGUAAAGGGCGCGUAGGCGGCUUUAUAAGUCGGGGGUGAAAGCCUGUGGCUCAACCACAGAAUUGCCUUCGAUACUGUAGAGCUUGAGACCGGAAGAGGUAAGUGGAACUGCGAGUGUAGAGGUGAAAUUCGUAGAUAUUCGCAAGAACACCAGUGGCGAAGGCGGCUUACUGGUCCGGUUCUGACGCUGAGGCGCGAAAGCGUGGGGAGCAACAGG
rnacentral:rRNA from 1 species